CGAACGAUUAAACCGCCCUCGGGCGGACAUAGAGUGGCGAACGGGUGAGUAACACGUGACCAACCUGCCCCGCGCUCCGGGACAACCGCUGGAAACGGCGGCUAAUACCGGAUACUCCGGGAGGGCCCCAUGGCCCUGCCGGGAAAGCCGAGACGGCGCGGGAUGGGGUCGCGGCCCAUUAGGUAGACGGCGGGGUAACGGCCCACCGUGCCCGCGAUGGGUAGCCGGACUGAGAGGUCGACCGGCCACAUUGGGACUGAGAUACGGCCCAGACUCCUACGGAAGGCAGCAG
rnacentral:rRNA from 1 species